rnacentral:lncRNA from 1 species
AAGCACUCUUCUAUGGCUUAACCUUCAGACAACCCUACAGGUUUGAGAACCAUUUUACAGAUAAGGAAAACCGUGACUUUCGGGCACAUGAAGUUAAGCAAGUAUACCUCAGAGCUGCUGCAACAGGCAAGCAAUACCAGAAGGGGGUUCUGGGAAGUCUUUGACAAUAUCAUGCAAUCUGAGUGAGACCAAGGUUUAAGAUGUUCAGAUAGGUGCUCAGGUCAUUAGUCAUCACAAGUAGGAAAAAGCCAUAAGG